rnacentral:rRNA from 1 species
UCACGGAUCCAGAGUUUGAUCCUGGCUGAGGACGAACGCUGGCGGCGUGCCUAAUACAUGCAAGUAGAACGCUGAAGAGAGGUGCUUGUCUCUUCUUGGUUGAGUUGCGAACGKGUGAGUAACGCGUWKGUAACCUGCCUUGUAGCGKGGKAUWACUAUUGGAAACGAUAGCUAAUACCGCAUAACAAUGGAUGACACUUGUCAUUUAUUUGAAWGKKGCAAUUGCUCCACUACAAGAUGGACCUGCGUUGUAUUAGCUAGUAGGUGAGGUAACKGCUCACCUAGGCGACGAUACAUAGCCGACCUGAGAGGGUGAUCGGCCACACUGGGACUGAGACACGGCCCAGACUCUACGGGAGGCWGCAGUAGGGAAUCUUCGGCAAUGGGGGCAACCCUGACCGAGCAACGCCGCGUGAKUGAAGAAGGUUUUCGGAUCGUAAAGCUCUGUUGUAAGUCAAGAACGAGUGUGAGAGUGGAAAUUCACACUGUGACGUG